UAUAGAUGGAGCCUUGUACCUGUGCCUGUUAAUGAGGCUGUAUGAGCCUUACAGAAAUCUUUCCAGUUGCUUGUAGUUUUGCCAAAACUCAGACAGAAGGUGACUUCAGUACCCAGCCGUUGUAUAUUGUUGUUGUUAAGGUUUUGCUUUAGAUUUAGGAAGGGUAAUAAAAGAGGCAUACAGGAAAAUUUGUAUUUUUUUUCAUUUUCUGAUUUUAAAUAGAUUUUUAAGCAAUAUGAAAUUACCUUUUGCUGGUUUUUGCCCAAAUUUGUUCAAUAUAUAAACUUCUACCAAACUGCUAUUUGGAAAACAGAAGCAUCAGCAUUUUAAAACUUGUAACAGAUUUGUCUGUACUAACUGUGCUCCAACCACACAAACUUUCCACACUUCUGUCUGUGAUAUUUCCAUAACAGAUGACUGAGAAAUCAGUCUUCAUUCUCUUCCUCCACCCAAAUUAAACUUCUACCUAGAUAGCAUAGAAGGAGAAAUAACUGCACGGAGAAAGGAAGGAUCUACUUGGAUUGUUUAGAAAUAGAGCAUGUGAGGCAAAGAUAGUGUAAUGAAAUACCUGUAUGUGAUUGGGCUCCUUUGUUUGCAAUGAAAACAGGAUGGAACUAAGGCUGGUUAUACGCUGCCAUUUACAGACGUGAUGGUAUUUGUCAUGGAAUUUGUCAUGGUGUGAAAUCAAGGAAUAAAAUCAAUCUUCCAUUUUCUGUCUUACUUGUAGGAAAACAUUAGGCUUAGAAGGUGAUCUCCGAACACACAGGCAUAUCUACAACCUCCAUUACAUGGUAGUCUUAAAUUCUUUUUCAUUGUCUAGUUUCUGCUUCCAAUUAAGAGAUUUUCAACUAUCAAGCAGUUCUAACAAUAUUAACUACAUGAAAUAUUUUUUUACACAGGCGGUAAUACUGUUGUAUAUUGUAGAUUAUUUAUAGGUCACUAUAUGUUGUCUCCAGUUAUUUAUUCCAAAUGGGUAAUUUAUUUAAAAGAAAUAGUAUGUUCACUACCUCUGCUGCGCUAUCUGAUGUGAUGAUCACAGUGGGCUUCCUGCCCACUUCGCUGCUUUCUAAAAGGAUGGAACUUGGAACAGGUCCAGUUAUUUCCUGUAUUAAAAUAAGUUGCCGAGAACUAUAACGUGAGGGUAUGGCUUUUUCUUUAGUAUUAUGAAGUACGUUCUUUUGUGGCAUAGUACAAGUAUGAAGGAAAGGGAAGAUAUUUUUUAACCACGCAUCUUGGAACAGAUCUGAGAUGUUUGGACUUUCUGUCACUAUCAACUUUAACACUUCUUCCUGUGCACAGAAAAAUGUAGAUGUUAUGUCAUAACUCAUUUUCAGAAGGAACUUUAUGUAUGUUUCUCAUCUCUUCGGAUAUCAUUUUAUUUUUCUAGGUGCUGUUUUAAGAGUGCAGACUUGUAAGAUACAGGCAUGUUUUUUUCCAGCAUGUUGGAAGUCUCUGUGACUCAUGGCUGCCUGUUGCGCCAAUGAUCUCAAAUCCGCCUUCUUCCCUCUGUGCUAUUUUCCACAGAUUAUUUAUUGAUUUGUUUGUCAUUUUACUUGUGAUCAUUUUGUGCUGUAGGCUUUUGUAAGGUCAUGGAAUACAAACACAGAACGUGCCCACGUCUCCCUCACCUCUUCUGUCAUCAAACACUAAUUUCUAAAAAACUACUUUGUAUUAAUAAAAAUGUUAAACCAUCUGAGAUGGGCAAUUUAUUAGAAUGGUCUAAUGCAUUUUCUAUUCCUUUCAUGUGAUGGAAGGUCACUUUCUCUCCCCAUUUUUAUUUUAGGUCUUUUAAUAUCAUAGAAUUAUAAUCUGGGCGUACAACAGGUUCAAUUCUUUUUAAUGACCAUAUCUUAUGAAUCUUAAUGUUCUGCCAGUUGUGUGGACAUAUUUUACUAGCGCAGUUCACAUUAAAUCAAUUUCCAAUGUUCAUCCAAAUUGCUUUAAAUGCAAAAAUAGCUGUAGAACUUAUCCUGAAGUGCAAAGCUUUGUGGCUGAGUUAAUGAGUAUUUAGGGCGUGUUUUUUCAGGCUUCUGAGUAAAUGGAAGCAAUAUAAUCAGUUUUAACUCCUGGUUUGAAACUGGACAAUUUAAAGCUGAUGUCUUAACCUACUAAUGCUAACCUACUGUAUCUCAUUGGGCAGCUGGUGUGUAGGGGAUGCUCCGCUCUCCUGUUGGAUACCGUAAAGUUUAAGCAUGAGGCAGUGAAGUUUCUGAGUAGCCUAGUAGUCUAUGAGAACUAGUACUCAUAUUUGGUCAUUUACAAGUGUUCCCUUAUGUUUUAUUUUACUGGUUAUUAUUAUUAUUAUUAUACCAUGGUUAAUGUUGCCCAAGGUGAGCCAGGAUCGCAAAUGUAAACUUACGAAAUAAAACCUAUUUU
rnacentral:lncRNA from 1 species